ensembl:snRNA U4 U4 spliceosomal RNA
AGCUUUGCACAGUGGCAGUAUCGUAGCCAAUGAGGUUUAUCCGAGGCGCGAUUAUUGAUAAUUAAAAAUAACAUAAACUAAAUCU